rnacentral:rRNA from 1 species
GACUCUCGGCAACGGAUAUCUCGGCUCUCGCAUCGAU